CUCUCUCCGGGUAGGGGGUCCUGCGGAGGGAUCAUUACACAACAAAAUAUGAAGGCCUGGCUUUCGCGGCCGGCUGAAGUAUUUUUUUCACCCAUGUCUUUUGCGCACUUGUUGUUUCCUGGGCGGGUUCGCCCGCCACCAGGACCAAACCAUAAACCUUUUUUUCUUAUGCAGUUUCCAUCAGCGUCAGUAAAAACAAUGUAAUUAUUACAACUUUCAACAACGGAUCUCUUGGUUCUGGCAUCGAUGAAGAACGCAGCGAAAUGCGAUACGUAGUGUGAAUUGCAGAAUUCAGUGAAUCAUCGAAUCUUUGAACGCACAUUGCGCCCUUUGGUAUUCCAAAGGGCAUGCCUGUUCGAGCGUCAUUUGUACCUUCAAGCUUUGCUUGGUGUUGGGCGUUUUUUUGUCUCCCUCUUUCUGGGAGACUCGCCUUAAAACGAUUGGCAGCCGGCCUACUGGUUUCGGAGCGCAGCACAUUUUUUGCGCUUUGUAUCAGGAGAAAAGGACGGUACUCCAUCAAGACUCUACAUUUUUCACUUUUGACCUCGGAAUCAGGGAAGGAAUUUCGGAAGCCCUAAGCAUAUCAUAAAGGGGAAGGGAAA
rnacentral:rRNA from 1 species